AUCACUAAGCGGAGGAAAAGAAACUAACAAGGAUUCCCCUAGUAGCGGCGAGCGAACCGGGAGAAGCCCAGCUUGAAAAUCGCGGCGCUUCCGCGCGCAGUUGUAGUCUGGAGAAGCGUCCUCUGUUGCGGACUCGGCCCAAGUUCCCUGGAAAGGGACGUCAGAGAGGGUGAGAACCCCGUCGGGCUGAGACCCUGCAGCUCCACGAGGCGCUGUCGACGAGUCGGGCUGUUUGGGAAUGCAGCCCUAAGCGGGAGGUAAAUUCCUUCCAAGGCUAAAUACAGGCGAGAGACCGAUAGCGAACAAGUACCGCGAGGGAAAGAUGAAAAGGACUUUGAAAAGAGAGUUAAAAAGUGCUUGAAAUUGCUGGGAGGGAAGCGAAUGGAGGCCUCGUGUGCGCCCCGGUCGGAUGCGGAACGGCGAGAGCUGGUCCGCCGCUCGACGCGGGGCGCUGGUCAGCGUGGGCCGGUCCGGCGGGACAAAAGUCGGGCUUCAGUGCCCGGCCGAUGCCGUCGGACCGGCCGAGGGAUCGAAGCGCGCGUCCUCUCUCUCAAGGGGAAGGGCGGGACCCCUCGGGUCACCUGCGCGCUCGAGACGCUGGCGUAGUGGGCUU
rnacentral:rRNA from 1 species